rnacentral:rRNA from 1 species
UACGUAGGGGGCAAGCGUUAUCCGGGUUUACUGGGUGUAAAGGGAGCGUAGACGGCAUGGCAAGUCAGAUGUGAAAGCCCGGGGCUCAACCCCGGGACUGCAUUUGAAACUGUCAGGCUGGAGUGCAGGAGAGGUAAGUGGAAUUCCUAGUGUAGCGGUGAAAUGCGUAGAUAUUAGGAGGAACACCAGUGGCGAAGGCGGCUUACUGGACUGUAACUGACGUUGAGGCUCGAAAGCGUGGGGAGCAAACAGG